GCGAACAGAAUAUAGUGCUUCCAAUUUUUGUGAUAUUUCUUUUGAUUGUCUGCGCAAGAGUUGGAUAUUCCACUGAAGUGAAUUUUCAGCCAUAUUGUAAUUUAUCACAAUACAAUGUACCGACGUCCUUUCUUGAAUCACCGUAUUCCUACAAGUGUGGUGGUGUUAAUGUUGACACUUACACUUGUAAUCCGGGGACUUCUCAAUGCCUGGAGAGGGUGUGUCAUACCAUCAGUGAAUGGGACAGACUGUUGCGUCAUUCGUUUAUUACGUCUACAGACUUUGGCGUCAUUAACAGUCUUAACAGAAGGCGGUCUUCCUGCAUAUGUUGCUUUACGUCAACUGGAUGACAGUUUUGCCACAGAAUGUCAAAUUACGUCCGGCUCCGUACAGGCGUUAGCUAUGGGAGGAAUGUUCGGGAUUAUCAUCAUAGCCAUCACGUGCUUCAUGGUCUAUGUGUUAUGUCGUCAUACGUGACGCAACAUGAAACAUAUGACCAACCAUUUAUCUUUAACCUCUACUGUAACCAUAGUCAUUAAAAUUCUUGAAUCAACAAUUGAAGUUAAGAUGACCUGUAAAAUAGUAGAUGGUUUUUAUGUGUGUAAGGCAUACAAAUUGGUGUCAUUGUAAUAAAAAGAAUAAAAUAAAUACGC
rnacentral:sRNA from 1 species